rnacentral:rRNA from 1 species
GGACUUCGGUCUGGUGGCGAGUGGCGAGCGGGUGAGUAAUGCAUUGGAACGUACCGAGUAGUGGGGGAUAACUAGUCGAAAGAUUAGCUAAUACCGCAUACGCAUUGAGAUGGAAAGCGGGGGAUCUUAGGACCUCGCGCUAUUUGAGCGGCCAAUGUCUGAUUAGCUAGUUGGUGGGGUAAAGGCCUACCAAGGCGACGAUCAGUAGCGGGUCUGAGAGGAUGAUCCGCCACACUGGGACUGAGACACGGCCCAGACUCCUACGGGAGGCAGCAGUGGGGAAUUUUGGACAAUGGGCGAAAGCCUGAUCCAGCCAUGCCGCGUGUCUGAAGAAGGCCUUCGGGUUGUAAAGGACUUUUGUCAGGGAAGAAAAGGUGAUUGCUAAUAUCAGUCGCUGAUGACGGUACCUGAAGAAUAAGCACCGGCUAACUACGUGCCAGCAGCCGCGGUAAUACGUAGGGUGCGAGCGUUAAUCGGAAUUACUGGGCGUAAAGCGAGCGCAGACGGUUUGUUAAGCAGGAUGUGAAAUCCCCGAGCUCAACUUGGGAACGGCGUUCUGAACUGGCAAGCUAGAGUAUGUCAGAGGGGGGUAGAAUUCCACGUGUAGCAGUGAAAUGCGUAGAGAUGUGGAGGAAUACCGAUG